UACAGAGGUCUCAAGCGUUGUUCGGAUUCAUUGGGCGUAAAGGGCGCGUAGGUGGCCUGCUAAGCGUGCGGUGAAAGUCGGGGGCUCAACCCCCGAUCGGCCGUGCGAACUGGGAGGCUUGAGCACUGUAGAGGCAGGCGGAAUUCCGGGUGUAGCGGUGGAAUGCGUAGAGAUCCGGAAGAACACCGGUGGCGAAGGCGGCCGUGCUGGGCAGUUUUGGCUGACACUGAGGCGCGACGAGCGUGGGGAGCAAACAGG
rnacentral:rRNA from 1 species